rnacentral:rRNA from 1 species
UACAGAGGUCUCAAGCGUUGUUCGGAUUCAUUGGGCGUAAAGGGUGCGUAGGUGGCGCCGUAAGUCAGGUGUGAAAUUUCGGAGCUUAACUCCGAAACUGCAUUUGAUACUGCGGUGCUUGAGGGACUGGAGAGGAGACUGGAAUUCACGGUGUAGCAGUGAAAUGCGUAGAUAUCGUGAGGAAGACCAGGUGGCGAAGGCGGGUCUCUGGGCCGAUACUGACGCUGAGGAGCGAAAGCCAGGGGAGCGAACGGGG